UAAAUGCCUACCAAUGCAACGAAGCAAAGCCGACCAGAGAGGGUGAUCGGCCACACAGGGACUGAGACACGGCCCAGACUCCUACGGGAGGCAGCAGAAGGGAAUCUUCCGCAAAGGACGAAAGUCAGACGGAGCAACGCCGCGUGUAAGAAGAAGGUUUUCGGAUCGUAAAGUACAGUUGUUAGAGAAGAACAAGGAUAAGAGAAACUGCUAGUCCCUUGACGGUAUCUAACCAGA
rnacentral:rRNA from 1 species